GGAGCACUGGGCAACUCAGUCACAGAGAAGCAGGUCCCCAGGGAAGAGCCUGCUGGGCCCACGGCCUUGCCUGGGAGGACUGGAGAUGGUUUGAGGUCAGCCCAUACUGCAGACUGUGGUAUGAGACACCAGGGCCACCAGGCACCUGUCUAAGCUCAAGCUCUAGCUGCUGUGAGCUGAUGGUUGUAAUGAUUAACUUUAGGUGUCAGCUUGACUGGAUUAAGGGAUACGCUGAUAGCUGGAAAAGUGUUAUUAGGUGUUUCUAGGAGAGGUUAGCAUUUGAAUCAGUGGACUGAGUAAGGAAAAUCUGCCCUCAUGCAAUGUGGGCGGGCACCAUCAAAUCGGCUGGGAGCCCAGAUAGAAUAAAAAGGCAGAUUCUCUGUCUCUCCCCUCUUGAGUUGCUCCACACAUCUUCUCCUGCCCUUGGACAUCAGAGCUCACGGUAUCUGGCUUUUGGACGCUGGGACUUGCACCAGCAGCCUUGACAGCUUCUCAGGACUUCAGCCUCAGGCUGAGAGUUACACUGUCAGCUUCAUAUUUCUCAGGUCUUUGGAUGUGAACUGAACCAUGCUACCGGCUUCCCAGAGUCUCCAGCUUGCAGAUGGCCUAUUGUGGGAGCCAAUUCCCCUAAUAAAUCCCUUCUUGUAGAUACAUGCACAUAUACACUGAUAUGGUUUGGCUGUGCCCCACCCAAAUCUCAACUUGAAUUGUAUUUCCCAGAAUUCCCACGCAUUGUGGGAGGCACCCAGGAGGAGGUAACUGAAUCAUGUGGGCUGGUCUUUCUCGUGCUAUUCUCGUGAUAGUGAAUAAGUCUCACGAGAUCUGAUGGGUUUAUCAGGGGUUUCUGCUUUUGCUUCUUCCUUAUUUUUUCUCUUGCUACCGCCACAUAAGAAGUGCCCUUUGCCUCCUGCCAUGAUUCUGAGACCUUCCCAGCCUUGUGGAACUGUAUACCAUCAGAGAAAGAAUGUUGAUUUUCGCCUAUCCACAAAGCUUGGCAAGCUCUUUACUGGUAGGGGAUAAGGUCUUACUAGACUAAGUACAUGAAAUCAUUAAGUAAAACAAAAUGUUUCAUUAAAAAUGUCAAGUGGGCAGCUUAAGGUCAAGUGAGACAGAUUUGGCCUAAAGGCUUUAUGUUGUUGUGUACACUUACAGAAAAGAAUCCAUAAAAAGAGCUCAACUGGGAAGUUGAAAACACGUGUAACAUAGAUUACAAAUUUCAAGGGGCCACAGUGUAAAUUUCCUUAAGUUUAUUCUAUUUCUUUCAGGCCCUACACACAGGCAUUGGGACCAACACUUCUUUUUAUGCCUGACCCAAUCUCAGCAAACAUUAAGGGACCCCUGGGCACCAGUCACUAUGCUUGGAACUUCCCUUUAAUCUGCAUACAGCCCUCUGAGAUAGAGGUUAUUAACCCCAAUUUUAUUGAUGAAUAAAUAGUCUUAUAAAGGUUAAGGGGCAUUCAAGCCUCACUACCAGCAUCUUUGCCUUUAAACCUCAGCUGCCUCUUAGUGUUUAGAAGGUGGGUAAAAAUAGAAAAAAUAAACCUCAGCUGCCUCCUAUCACUGCCAGCUGGAGCUGGGACGGUAAAGGCCACUUAGCUCAAAUUCAGUCAGCUGGCUCCAUGGGACCUCGAAGUGUUUGGGGCUUAACUGUACAGGAAGAGAAUGUUGUAUACACAGCCCUGCUGCAUUUUCUCACAAUGGGUUCUAGCUCUUCCCUUGAGGCCUUGGGAAAGAACUGCUGGAGUCCUUUAUGGCCAGGAAUCCACCCUCUCCCAGCCAAGCUCUCCUUGCCUCCACAGCACAUAGGAACUCAUUUACUCAUUCAUCUCUCCAGCCAACCAUUCCCCCACCAUCCUUCCAUUCUGCAUGUAGCCAACCAACCUGCCAGCCAACAUAGUUCUCACGCUUUCAUUCAUCAAAUGUUUAUCGAGCCCCUUCAGUGUACCAGGCUCACUGUUACAAAGCCAGAAUCUGGAGCCAUUGCUGUCUCUAUGUGUGUGUGGACUCCAGUGGUUCUCAAACUUGGCUGAAGAUUAAUGUGGCCUGGAGCCUUUUAAAAUCUCAGUCCUAUUCAUCGUGUUGGGGACACACAGAUGAAUAGGACUCCUCGCCAUUAAGGAGAUUACAUCUCAGAAAUUUUGCUUCAAAGGUAGAGGGAGACCAGAUAUUAAAGCUAUGGUUGAGAUUUUAUUCUCUUGCCCAACUAUCAAACUCCUACUUACCUGUCAAAACCCAACUCUAAUAUGCUCAGCCUCCAAAACUCCUCCCCAUUCACCCCAGGAGAUUAGAUAUUUCCCGAGUGUCUUACUGUGUUUGUUCAUGACUUGAUUCCAGCCUUGUUGUUGCUAUUUGUAUCUGUCUCCGGUGAGGGCAGCAACCAGUCUUUCUUAAGUGUAUUUCUCGUGCUGAGCCCAUGCCUGCUGGCCAGCGGUUUAGUGGCUUUCUAACUUUUGUGAACCUAAGAAUCACCUGGGAAACUUGUUAAAACACUGACCCCCACCCCGCGCCACCUGCCAGCUCCACCCCCAUGUGGUCUGACUCAAUAGGUCUGAGACUGAGGCUUAGGAAUUUGCAUUUUUAGUAAGUUUCUUGGGUAAAUCUGAUAUAGGUUCUCUGCAGAACACACUUUGAUAACUAUUAUGCCAGUGACUCCAUAAAAGUUUUUUGAAUGAAUGAAUAAAUAAAAACCAAGGAAUUAAAGGUCAACAAAAAGUCUUGGAAUUUAGUAAGGUCUGUGGAUUGCAUCCAUGUUAACUUCCUAGUUUUGAUAUCAAAUAUAGUUAUAUGAAAUGUUACCACUGGGAGAGGGUAUGUGGGGCCUCUUCUUACUAUUUUUGUAACUUCCUGUGUAUCUAUAAUUGUUUCAAAGUAAAAAGUUAAGAAGUCUGUGGUUUUCCCAGGCCUCAAGGAUGUAGAGUGGUAAGUUGCUUCAGACCACUGAUGAACGGACCUUUAACUCCACCCUCUAGAGACAUCAGCCCACAGCUGAGUACAAUUAAUCAUAGACUUAAUUAUCAUGAAGGAAUUCUCUACUAUACCUUUCAUUCUUU
rnacentral:lncRNA from 10 species